GUUGGAUGUGUGCAUCCUAAUUAUGCAGAUCGUGUUUAUAUAAAGAAAAUGCUUAUGAUAACAAGCCGAAGGGCCCGUUAUCAAAUAAAACAAGUAGAAGUACUUGGUACAUAAGCAAAUGAUCAAACACACAGCUGUUCUGAAUUAAAAAUGUCAACACAUAUAGCACAACUUUAUAUGGAACACAGAUUUAAGUUAUAUGGUGGCAUUCAAGCAUCAACGGAGUGCAUGGUCGAUGCUCCACUCACAGGUGGUGAAUAGCUAGAAAACUGGAGCACAUAGUUUUUACACAUAGAGACAUGGAUAAUAUUGUCACAUGUCCACACAAUAUUUUGCUGACGAUGACCAUACAACACAAAGCAACAAAAGAACAGCCAUGUGU